UGUUAUUCGCUCCUGUUGAUGAAAAGUUAACAGUAUAAUGAUGAUUUAAACAACAACUUUAAAAACAAUUUGUCAUGUUUGCGGCUGUUACUUUUAACAAGCGGUAGGUAGCGCUGCGCUUCUUCCUUUUUUUUUUUCCCGCGCCCCAUGGAGAAAAAAAAAAAUGGCUCGACACUUUUGUGUUUCUUCACGCAGCAACGUGAUCGGCGUGUUUUCGAUGAUCUCGACGCUCAGCAAGAUCCAUUGUGCAGUGUUAAGUUCAGAAAUGUUUUCCUCAUCGUAUGCAGCAGUGAAUUCUCUUGUGCGCUUCGUCGUUUCCGCCCGCUGGAUAUCGACGAUUUUGACAAAGAACUCUACGAAGUCUUGCGGGCUGGCGAGGAAAACGGCAGCACCCACUUACUGCACAUGAGCCAAACUGAGGAAGGGAUGGAGGAGGCGUGAGUCGAACAACCGACGUGUGCAGCGGAAACUCGGCGAUGCUCAACUGGGACCGGGAUCACGAAAAAACACCUUUACCUCGAGGCGAAAAAGUGUCCCCUGCAGGACCUCCAGAAGAAACACCAGUCCCCGUAACGGUACCUUGCACAAGAAUGUGCCAACCUGCACUAUUAAUCCAGCUAGGUUUUCAUGGACAUUUUCAUUAAUUUUAUUGCCCUUGAAGUUAUUAAAGUGCUAAUUUGUUUUAAAAAUGAGUACGUGUCAACUUCACUUAAGAGGUUCCAUGUAAAUGUGCAUGGGAAAGUGUGCAGAUGUGUGCAUUUUUAAAAUCCAGUUGCUACCCUCAGCACUGCAUAGAUAAACUUAUUGCUAGUGAAGCUGCAAGAAAUUUCUUUUCAUUUGUUUUGCUCUAUUACGUCCAAAUACAGUACUUAGAACAUCUUUUUUUUUUUAGUU